rnacentral:rRNA from 1 species
AUUGAACGCUAGCGGGAUGCCUUACACAUGCAAGUCGAACGGCAGCACGGACUUCGGUCUGGUGGCGAGUGGCGAACGGGUGAGUAAUGUAUCGGAACGUGCCCAGUAGCGGGGGAUAACUACGCGAAAGCGUAGCUAAUACCGCAUACGCCCUACGGGGGAAAGCAGGGGAUCGCAAGACCUUGCACUAUUGGAGCGGCCGAUAUCGGAUUAGCUAGUUGGUGGGGUAACGGCUCACCAAGGCGACGAUCCGUAGCUGGUUUGAGAGGACGACCAGCCACACUGGGACUGAGACACGGCCCAGACUCCUACGGGAGGCAGCAGUGGGGAAUUUUGGACAAAGGGGGAAACCCUGAUCCAGCCAUCCCGCGUGUGCGAUGAAGGCCUUCGGGUUGUAAAGCACUUUUGGCAGGAAAGAAACGUCGCGGGUUAAUACCUCGCGAAACUGACGGUACCUGCAGAAUAAGCACCGGCUAACUACGUG